rnacentral:rRNA from 1 species
AUUGAACGCUGGCGGCAUGCCUUACACAUGCAAGUCGAACGGCAGCACGGGAGCAAUCCUGGUGGCGAGUGGCGAACGGGUGAGUAAUAUAUCGGAACGUGCCCAGUAGUGGGGGAUAACUGCUCGAAAGAGCAGCUAAUACCGCAUACGACCUGAGGGUGAAAGGGGGGGAUCGCAAGACCUCUCGCUAUUGGAGCGGCCGAUAUCAGAUUAGCUAGUUGGUGGGGUAAAGGCCUACCAAGGCAACGAUCUGUAGUUGGUCUGAGAGGACGCACAGCCACACUGGGACUGAGACACGGCCCAGACUCCUACGGUAGGCAGCAGUGGGGAAUUUUGGACAAUGGGCGCAAGCCUGAUCCAGCAAUGCCGCGUGCAGGAAGAAGGCCUUCGGGUUGUAAACUGCUUUUGUCAGGGAAGAAAUCCUCUAGGUUAAUACCCUUGGGGGGAUGACGGUACCUGAAGAAUAAGCACCGGCUAACUACGUGCCAGCAGCCGCGGUAACAC